UACGUAGGGGGCAAGCGUUGUUCGGAAUUACUGGGCGUAAAGGGCGCGUAGGCGGCCAACUAAGUCAGACGUGAAAUCCCUCGGCUUAACCGGGGAACUGCGUCUGAUACUGGUUGGCUUGAGUGCAGGAGAGGAACGCGGAAUUCCAGGUGUAGCGGUGAAAUGCGUAGAUAUCUGGAGGAACACCGGUGGCGAAGGCGACUACCUGGCCUGUUCUUGACGCUGAGGCGCGAAAGCUAGGGGAGCAAACGGG
rnacentral:rRNA from 1 species